UACGUAGGGUGCAAGCGUUACUCGGAAUUACUGGGCGUAAAGCGUGCGCAGGCGGUUAUGUAAGGCAGAUGUGAAAUCCCCGGGCUUAACCUGGGAACUGCAUUUGUGACUGCAUAGCUAGAGUACGGUAGAGGGGGAUGGAAUUCCGCGUGUAGCAGUGAAAUGCGUAGAUAUGCGGAGGAACACCGAUGGCGAAGGCAAUCCCCUGGACCUGUACUGACGCUCAUGCACGAAAGCGUGGGGAGCGAACGGG
rnacentral:rRNA from 1 species